rnacentral:sRNA from 1 species
AUUUAUAAUCACCUGUGCUUGCACAGAAGUGAUUAUAAAUUUUAGAGGGGCGCCCACAAAUGAGCAUAAAAGACUGACGAAGUCAGUCGAUAUGCGAAUGUGUGGUUGGAUUGCGGGAGUGCGAAGCACGUAGCAAUCCA